CAAAAUAAAGCUUUAUAGAUAAGUAUCUCAUUUACACUGAGGUGAUUUUCGUGCAAUUCGAAUUAUUUUGA
rnacentral:tRNA from 1 species